rnacentral:rRNA from 1 species
AGCUCCAAUAGCGUAUAUUAAAGUUGUUGCAGUUAAAUAGCUCGUAGUUGGAUUUCUGGUAGGAGUGGUGGGUAUGGCACAUUGUGUUAUUAACUCACUUCCUUCGGCCAUCCUUGGAGAGAUUUUAUCUUGCAUUAAGUUGUAGGAUGAAGAAUUUCCAUCUUUUACUGUGAAAAAACUAGCGUGUUCAAAGCAGGCUUAUGCCGUUGAAUACAUUAGCAUGGAAUAAUAAGAUAAGGCCUUGGUGCUACUUUGUUGGUUUAUGCAUUAAGGUAAUGAUCAAUAGGGAUAGUCGGGGGUAUUUGUAUUCCAUUGUCAGAGGUGAAAUUCUUGGAUUUUUGGAAGACAAACUACUGCGAAAGCAUUUACCAUGGAGGUUU